AUGGCCACCACGCGACUCCGCCUCCUACUCCUCAUAUUUACGCUGCUCGCCGGCACCGCCGUCUUCUCCGUCUCCGCUGCCCGCGACGCCACUGACGAGACGGUGGUCGCGGGUCCGGUCAGCGACGUCCCCGACGAGACGGUGGUCGCGGGUCCGGUCGGCGCGGAGCCGAGCGCGUACGAGAUGUUGGAGAAAUUUGGCUUCCCGAAGGGAAUACUCCCGGUGGGCGUCACCGACUACACGCUCCGGCGGUCGGACGGCGCGUUCCAGGUGUUCAUGGACAAGGAUUGUGAGUUCGAGGUGGACGGCGGGUACAAGCUUACCUACAAGCAGACGAUCUCCGGCAGGGUGGCCGGCGGCAGCUUGUGGGACCUCCGGGGCGUCUCGGUGAAGAUCUUCUUCGUCAACUGGGGCAUCGACCAGGUGCUCAUGGCCGACGCCGACCACCUCAUGUUCUACGUCGGCCCGCUCUCCCAGGCCUUCACGUCGGACAACUUCGAGGAGUCCCCGCAGUGCAGGUGCGGCGUCGCGGAUGUUGGCGAGAGCGCCGGCGUCGGCGUGGCGGCGAUGUAG
rnacentral:rRNA from 1 species